UGGAGAAAGAAGCGAGGCGACAGAUUAGGGAUUUUUCUUGAAAAGGUGGUUUCCCCUCUCUGUUGUGCCGAUGAUUUUUCCACUUUCAAUCCUGAAUUGGAACAAGAAAACAGCCUUUUCACAGACCAAAGAAACCUGUACAGUACUUCGUAGUGUUUUCCUUGGAUCUCUUUCUGGUCUGCAGUUUCUACGUACGUUUAUAUGCAGAGCUAUCAGCUAUGGUUUAUGGUUUAGGGUUUAUGGUUUAAUUAAUUUGCGUAUUUCUUGAGGCUGUGAUGAUGUCUUCACUCUUCACCUUCUUUUCCGACUUUCUGGGCUUUCGGGCAUUGAGAAGACCUAGCCGUAUCUUGGCGGGGCGACCCGGAAACUCCGGUUCUUUGCAGCCAUGGCGGCUCUGGCUUCUCUCUUGCCCCAAUAAUGCAUUAUACAUACAGAUCUGAGCCUCAAAGACGCCCUGAGGGCUUCGAACCGGCGACCUUUAUAUGAAUCUGGCGUUUCUGGUGUUAUUGGGAUUGUAUUCAAUCAAGACUUUUAGAGAGAGAGGGAGAAUUGAUUUUCUUGAAGGGUUUAUUGUCCCACUCUGUUUACUCCAUUAACAGCCCUUUCAUUUCGUUUCCGGGAUCUUGAAAUGGAACUAUGGAAGUAUAUUUUUAAAGAGGCUAUGAUGAUAUCUUCCUUGAAAAUCGGGCAUUGAGAUGACCGGCCCGUAUCUUGGCAUGGCAAUACUCCAGUUCUUUGCAGCCAUGGCGGUCUGGCUUCUCUUUUGCCCACUCUCCUCUUAAAACUAGAUCUGAGCCUCAGAGUUGCGAAGGUGUCAAACCCUUUAACUUGUUUUGUGAAGAGAUAUAAAAUUUUUAUCAGAUCCUUUCUGGGUUUGUUUAAAUUUUAUCUACAUUACAAGGCUUUCAUGACAAAAUUAAGAAUUUCCAAAGGUGUUGCCUUUUCUUUUAUGCAAAUCUUGCAAAAUAUGGUCUUAAAAAAUGUAUUCUUGCAUUCAGUCAACAAGUUAUCAUUACAGAAGUAGAAAACCCUCCUCAAUGAGAGGCAACCUUGAAGGGGUGGUGACACAGAAAGGACUUGGUUCUUUGCAGCUAUGGUGGUGCUGACUUCUCUCUCUUGCCCCACAAACAUGGAUCUGAGUGUCAAAGAUGCUUAGGGGAUUUGGACUGGUGACAUUUUUUUUUUCCUCGAAAAUUACCUUUCUGGUUUUCUUUAAAUUUCAGCUCUAAGGUUGCAUGAUCCCCACACUCGGUUUAGCUAAGGUUUUCUCUAGUUUCAUUCAAUCAACAUCCCAUAGCCCUUUGUUAAUCUUAGUUCAUGGAUCCUCAUUUUGUUUGUCUAAUGCAUGCCAUUUUGCAUCAGCAAAAUACUGAAAUGCAGGAUGUAAGCAGCAAAAUUGAUAUUAGAAAUUUGUUGUUUGGUUUUGAUUGGUUGUUUAUAACUAAAGGUAGGCUUGUGCA